rnacentral:lncRNA from 1 species
UGCCAGCAGCCUGGAGAUCCUGUCACAAUGAGAUGAGGAGGAAAAAGAAGGCGGCCAGGAGGCCAAGGCCAGCAGCUGUCCUGCAGCACCGGGGUGUGAGCUCCCUGGGCCAGGGAGCUGAGGGAAGGAAGCUGCCAGCUGUGGAGGGCCUCACAGGCUCAUAGGACUCAUAUUUUGCUUAGGCAUCAAAAGCCCAGGGAACAAAAGAUAAACAUUGAUAAAGUGGACUUGAUUAAAUUUAAAACAGCUGUGCCUCAAGUGACAAGUGACACUGUCAAGAAAAUGACAACCCACACAAUGAAUAAAAAUGUGAGACUGACCUGACAGAUAAGAGCCCAGUAUACAGAAUAUGGCCAAACUCCUUAUUCCACUAUAGAAAUGGCCCAAGUAGACAUUGGGCAGAGGGCCUGAAUAGACUUUCCUGCAAAAUCAAGGCCAAAGGGCACAGGAGACCAAUCUCAACAUUAGCAUCAGGGGGAUGCAAAUCAAAGCCAGCAGAGGACCAAACUUUUCACCCACUGGAGUGGCUGUUACUGAUCAAAUGAGGAUGUGGAAAAGCUGGCACCUUCCUGUUUGGCUGGCAGGAUUGUAAAAUGGGGCAAUUUCUUUGGAAAACCAGGCCUUUCUCCAAAAGUUAAAUGAAGAGUUGCCACAUGAUACAACAGGUCCUUUCCCAGGUAUACACCCAAGAGAGAGGAAGACAGGGACACAGAUAGAUGUACAUGCACAUUCAUAGCAGAGCUACUCCCAAGAGCAAAAAGAGGGCCCAUCUAAGUAGCCCUGGACAGGUGGCUGGAGGACCAGGAUGUGGUGGUACAUCAUUCAACCAGAAAAAGAGGGAAACACUGCCACGUGCUGCAACAUGGAUGGAUAUGAUGCUCAGGAAAGAAAGCAGACACGGAGACCACAUGCUGUGAAGUUCCAUGGAGGUGCUGUGUCCAGCAGAGCCAAGCCCAGACAGAAAGAGGAAUUCAGGGAAGAUAAUGAUGUGGACUCUAAGCUCCUGGCUUUGACAUGACUCAGGCCAGCGAUGGACCACCCAGGGUUUCCAAGAAAGUACUCAAGUGGACUCUAAGCCCUUGAAGUUUGACUUGACUCAGGCCAGCAAUUUGCCACCCAGGCCUCACCACACUGCCGGAUUUCACCAGGUCCAAGCAUCAAACCAGGAGCU